rnacentral:lncRNA from 1 species
GUCUGUUCCUGAUGUGUCCAGAGACCAGUCCCAUCAAAUUCACAGAUCUCCAGAUGAAGAGAAGCAGCAUCUGAAAUGCCUCAUACACAUCUGUGCCUAGUGUAUAUUACUAAAACUUGGAAUUUAGAGCCAAUGCUGUACAGAAUGACAAUUUGGAGGGAGGAAUUCUACUUCCCAGGGGAAAGAAAAGGAAGAAAUUCCUAAAUUGGUGUUGAUUGAUGCCCAGUCUCUCCAAGCAAAAGGUGGACAACUCGCUUUGCAGCUGAUCAGUGUCGAGGUAAAUGCGCUCCAGUUCUCAGCAUUUCCGAACCAGCUCUCAUGAGACGGGUCAACCAAUCCGGGCUGUAAGCAGACUUAACAGGUUUGUUCUGGGCCGCCGGCCACUGACUAGGUUCUCCGACCAGAAAAGUCACUUGGCUGAGUCUACAGUAGGUGGGGCGCGCUCACCAGCUCAGGUGUAGUGAUUGCAAGUUUGUUGCAACAUCGGUGUAUUCAAGCAGCAGGCUGCUGUAGGAGAUACCCUUUUG